rnacentral:rRNA from 1 species
AUUGAACGCUGGCGGCAGGCUUAACACAUGCAAGUCGAGCGGAGAUGAGGUUCUUGCACCUUAUCUUAGCGGCGGACGGGAGAGUAAUGCUUAGGAAUCUGCCUAUUAGUGGGGGACAACAUUCCGAAAGGAAUGCUAAUAACUCAUACGCCCUACGGGGGAAAGCAGGGCAUAUUCGGACAUUGCGGUUAUGGCGGAGACUAAGUCGGAUGAGCUAGUUGGUGGUGUAAAGGGAUACCAAGGCGACGAUCAGUAGCGGGUCUGGGAGGAGGAUCCGCCACACUGGGACGGGGACACGGCCCAGAGUCCUACGGGAGGCAGCAGUGGGGAAUAUUGGACAAUGGGCGGAAGCCUGAUCCAGCCAUGCCGCGUGUGUGAAGAAGGCCUUUUGGUUGUAAAGCACUUUAAGCGAGGAGGAGGCUACCUGGAUUAAUACUCUAGGAUAGUGGACGUUACUCGCAGAAUAAGCACCGGCUAACUCUGUGCCAGCCGCCGCCGUAAAAC